rnacentral:rRNA from 1 species
CAGUAGCCGGGGAAUACGGAGGGGGCUAGCGUUGUUCGGAAUUACUGGGCGUAAAGCGCGCGUAGGCGGUUACUCAAGUCAGAGGUGAAAGCCCGGGGCUCAACCCCGGAACUGCCUUUGAAACUAGGUGACUAGAAUCUUGGAGAGGUCAGUGGAAUUCCGAGUGUAGAGGUGAAAUUCGUAGAUAUUCGGAAGAACACCAGUGGCGAAGGCGACUGACUGGACAAGUAUUGACGCUGAGGUGCGAAAGCGUGGGGAGCAAACAGGAUUAGAUACCCCGGUAGUCCCUGUCUCUUAUACA